rnacentral:rRNA from 1 species
CCUACGGGUGGCAGCAGUGGGGAAUAUUGGGCAAUGGGCGCAAGCCUGACCCAGCAACGCCGCGUGAAGGAAGAAGGCUUUCGGGUUGUAAACUUCUUUUCUGAGGGACGAAGAAAGUGACGGUACCUCAGGAAUAAGCCACGGCUAACUACGUGCCAGCAGCCGCGGUAAUACGUAGGUGGCAAGCGUUAUCCGGAUUUAUUGGGUGUAAAGGGCGUGUAGGCGGGAAAGCAGGUCAGAUGGGAAAACUCAGGGCUUAACCCUGAACCUGCAUUUGAAACUGUUGUUCUUGAGUGCUGGAGAGGCAAUCGGAAUGCAGGGUGUAGCGGUGAAAUGCGUAGAGAUCCGGAGGAACACCGGUGGCGAAGGCAGAUUACUAGACAGUAGCUGACGCUGAGGCACGAAAGCGUGGGGAGCAAACAGGAUUAGAUACCCGUGUAGUC